UACGGAGGGCGCGAGCGUUGUCCGGAAUCACUGGGCGUAAAGGGCGCGUAGGCGGCCCUGGUAAGUCUGCGGUGAAAGCCCGGGGCUCAACCCCGGGUCGGCCGCGGGUACUGCCGGGCUGGAGUGCCGUAGGGGCAGGCGGAAUUCCGGGUGUAGCGGUGGAAUGCGCAGAUAUCAGGAGGAACACCGAUGGCGAAGGCAGUGGUCUGGGCCGAUACUGACGCUGAGGAGCGAAAGCGUGGGGAGCGAACAGG
rnacentral:rRNA from 1 species